ACCUCGGAUCAGGUAGGAAUACCCGCUGAACUUAAGCAU
rnacentral:rRNA from 3 species